rnacentral:tRNA from 1 species
GCUGGAGUGGUGGAAUUGGUAGACACAAGGGACUUAAAAUCCCUCGGUACCUGGUACUGUACCGGUUCAAGUCCGGUCUUCAGCA